rfam:Brucella melitensis biovar Abortus 2308 chromosome I, complete sequence, strain 2308
GAAGUCGUUGCUGAUCGCCGUUCGGGCAAAAGCGCCGCGGCUAAUCUGGAAUCGCUGUAAUCAGCGUUGAAUGAAUUUGUCUCCAGUCUUUGACCACGGAUGUACUGGCACUGAUUGUUGAGACAAUGGGAAGGUCGGGGUAAAGCCCGGCCUUUUUUUAU